rnacentral:rRNA from 1 species
CAGCAGCCGCGGUAAUACGUAGGGUGCAAGCGUUAAUCGGAAUUACUGGGCGUAAAGCGUGCGCAGGCGGUUUGUUAAGACAGAUGUGAAAUCCCCGGGCUCAACCUGGGAACUGCAUUUGUGACUGGCAAGCUAGAGUAUGGCAGAGGGGGGUGGAAUUCCGCGUGUAGCAGUGAAAUGCGUAGAUAUGCGGAGGAACACCGAUGGCGAAGGCAGCCCCCUGGGCCAAUACUGACGCUCAUGCACGAAAGCGUGGGGAGCAAACAGGAUUAGAUACCCCGGUAGUCCCUGUCUCUUAUAC